rnacentral:rRNA from 1 species
GACGAACGCUGGCGGCGUGCUUAACACAUGCAAGUCGAACGGAAAGGCCCUGCUUGCAGGGUACUCGAGUGGCGAACGGGUGAGUAACACGUGGGUGAUCUGCCCUGCACUUCGGGUUAAGCCUGGGAAACUGGGUCUAAUACCGGAUAGGAGCUAUUUUUAGUGUGAUGGUUGGAAAGUUUUUUCGGUGUAGGAUGAGCUCGCGGCCUAUCAGCUUGUUGGUGGGGUAAUGGCCUACCAAGGCGGCGACGGGUAGCCGGCCUGAGAGGGUGGACGGCCACAUUGGGACUGAGAUACGGCCCAGACUCCUACGGGAGGCAGCAGUGGGGAAUAUUGCACAAUGGGCGCAAGCCUGAUGCAGCGACGCCGCGUGGGGGAUGACGGCCUUCGGGUUGUAAACCCCUUUCGCUAGGGACGAAGCUUUUUGUGACGGUACCUAGAUAAGAAGCACCGGCUAACUACGUG